CGCCCGGCGUCCGGAGGCAGCUCUGCGCUCGCUGCGUCCCUCGGUGUGUGCGCGCGCCCUGCCUCCCGGGCGCCCUCCCGGUCUCUCCUCCUCCUCCUCCUCCUCUUCCUCUCUGGGCCUCCCCUCCCCCUCGUGGCGCUCUUUAGGAGGGAGGCAUCGAAAGGCGAGCGGCGCGCCUCUGCCCGGUGCUCCCCCUGCCCGGGCGGGGAGGCUGGAGAGAGCGCGCGCGAGAAUAUGGCAAGAGAAUAUAUGCGCGAGAGGAUGGAUGCGAGGGAGCGAGGGGGAAUCCGUCACUUUGGAGCCACCGGAGCCCGGUCUGCAAAGAGUGGCUGGAGGUCGUGAGAACUCAGUGGGUUGCUGAACUCUAUGAUGGAGCCAAGGAGAGAAGCUGUGGUUGGACCAAGCAAGUCCUUCUGCAGGGCCCCAGCUGACCUGCCAUGCGGUGCUCAGUUUCCUGAAUCCUCACUCCACGCUCUGAGCCUGACCCACCCGCUGGACCCUCCUAUCCCAUCUCAGCCUGUGCAUGAUCUCUUGGUGCCCUUGUGCCAAGACCACAAAUAGCCACAGGAAAAGAGUUCCGAGAGGCUCGGGAAGUUGCCUUUCUGCUUGGAGAUGGAGCUCCAGCUCUGAUUUUGUCUCUAAUGAAAUGCCCUUGGGCAUGGCUGAGCACAGCCCUUGUUCACGCCAGGGCAGUCCUCCGGUUACAGGUUUACCAUCCUCCAGGCUCCCAGGACACUGCCAGAGAAAGCUGGCAUAACCCACUUCUCCACGCAGCCUGUGGCACGCAGCACGAAAAUUACCCUGGCCGCCCAAUUGCUGCAGGGCAGCUUCAGCACCAGGGACAGCUCCGCUCUUCCCGGGGCUCACCUCUCCUUCCCCCAGUGAAACAGACUCUAGAGAGGGGAAGAGAACUGGGAGGCACGGAGGGGCAGGCUGCAGGCACCCCUGCCUUCCAGCUGGAUCGCUGCAGCCUGUGGGGCAGGCGCUGUCUGUUCUCUUUGUUUCCUUGAAGCGCUCCACUGAGGGAGACCCUGACGUCUCUCUGGGGAGCCCAUUUGGGUUUUUAUCACCCUGGCUGUCAAGAAAGUCUGCCUUAUGCCUCACACAGACCUUUUCCAUCUUAAUUUCCCUCGAAGGGUGAAGGCCUUGAAGCAGUGACAGAAGCUGAAACCACUGCCACCUCUUCUAGCUCUCAGGAGAGACCUGGGUCACCCUCCAGAGCUUGUAGAGCAAAGCCGUGUGUCAAAGAAAGAAGCCAAACGAAUCCAGUGCUUGCCGCACUGGCUAGGCGACGGGAGUCUGCAACAGGGAAGACCGCAUGCACACGGGCCGCAGAGUGGGCAGCCGCCACCUCUGUGCCCAGCAUGGAUCUGUGUCCAGUUCAGUUAGAAUUGACCAGAGGAAACAAGGCAUUCAGGGUUCCUGAGCAGAGCUCCGUGGAAGAGGUCGAGGUUUUUCUCCCACCAGAAAACAGGUCUGAACCACCCCUGGUGGAGGUGGCACAGAGAGUCACUGGGCUCUCCACUUUGCCAUUGGUUUUAAAAAUUGUUGCUUGAGAGAGACACUAGUGCCCCUUCCUUCAGCCCCAAGAAGACAGACCCAAUCAGCACCACGGAGAAGGAAUGAAGGCCAGGGUGCCCUGGGCCAAGCUCUGUGGGUAUUAGGUACUCUACACCGGGCCUACCUGAGAGGCUCUGUGUCCCUGUCCAGCACCCAGCUAGGUAAAAAGCACCCUCAAUGCCUCAGGACACAGAAUGUGAGGGGGCUGCUCUGCACUCCUCCUCUUUGUCCCCCUAAAGUCAAAGCAUCAGCUCAUUAAAGGCUUAACCAAGACUCACAAAGGCCCAACGAGGUGGUCCUGUCCUGGCAAGCCAUGUGGCCCUGGGGAGGCCAGUGCACAGUGUCAGGCAGCCAGUGCCAAGCUGCAGAUAGGAGCUGGCCACAGGACAGCAGGGUGGCCAGUGGCAGGUGGUAGGCAGGAGCCUCUUCCAAAGCAACCACAGGUGCCGAGCUUGUCCCAGGACUCAGAGGAUGGGGACAGUUCUGGUUGGCAGGAAGCAAAGGAGCAGAUACCCAUGCUAACCUGCAGCUCAUGUCCUUACACCUCCAGCGUGACAGGGACCAAAUAUGAGCUCCUUUCUCCAGCCUUCAGGAGAGGGAGCAGUGGUGGUCUGCAGAGGAGCUUCUAGGUAGGACCCUGGCCAGCAGUAGCCCUGCCUGGCUGCCCCUGACCCCAAGGAGGUUGUUAGAAUUGCUGCAGGUACGGGUGCAAAAAGAGCAGAGAAGGCGCAGAGGAUUCUGAUGUCCUUCAGAGUCCCCAGAGCUCUCCAGAGAGGAGAAGUAGCACGUUGCUAUGGGCGUGGGUGCAUGCUUUGACUUGGAUGCAGGGCCCUUCUAGGGCCACAGCCCCUCCUAGCCCCUACCCCCUGCUCCCUCUUCCUCCUGGGGAGAGCGCUUCUCUUCCUCAUCUACUCUAGCACUGGGGUCCAGUGAUGCUUUGGCACCACGACAACUCUCCGGUUCCAAGGCAUGGGGUUUCUGAGAAUUCACUGGCAAGGAGAUUUGGGGAAGCUGGCGGCCAGCUGAGGACCUACACUGCUCUGAGCAGCUCCCGGCAUCUCCUCCCACCGAGAGCUCUGCAUUAGGGUGGGGGAGCCGUCUGUUCCGUCUCUUACUUCCCUGGGAUGCCGUGACUUUUGAUUCCUGCUUGAUUAAUAUACAGCCAACAGACACUGUAUUUAAGGCAGCUUUAAUUCUCUCAGGUCACCAAACUCGGGAGCAGCAACGCUGUGAGGAGCCAGCCCCGCAAUAGAUCAAACACUGGGACCUUCAAAUCGCUCUGUGGCCCAAUUUCUCAUCACUGCUGCUGCCUGAUAACCCUCCCAGCCUGGAGCCAGCCUCCCCCUUUUCUGGGGGUGGGCUCAGGGACUGGAUGUGUAUGUCCACGGCUGAAACCCUGCUGGCAGCUAGAACAGGAGCUGGCAGGACUCAGUGCUUCAGUCCUGCAAGAGUGACCCGUCAGCACCAGGGACAGCUCCCUGGUGUUCCAGUGCUGCCUGAACUCGGCCUUCCUGGGCCCUACAAAGAGGAUGUCAAUGAGUCUCUCUGGUUUGCAGGAGGUGGCCAGUGGCCAGCCCUGCUGAGGGCCACCUCACUCCAAAUCCCUUCCCAGCCAAAUCCGUCUCCUGCUCCCCUUUGGGGCCCUGCACCCUCCCAUAUAGACUUAGGCUUUCUCCCUUAGGCUUUCUCUAAUCCACUUUCUCAUUCUCUGAUCCUCCUGAGAGCUCUCCCCAAAGAGAAGCAGGCUGCUCUCAGUUAGGACACCUGGCUGCCUCUCUGCUAGCCCUGGGUGCCCAGGGCUUCUGGGGACCCCACCAUCUCCUUUUUGGCUCCCCCCCCUUUCCACUUGCCUGGCUCGUUAGCAGGCUGAUUUGUCUCCUGGCACCUGGUGUCCCCCUAUUGGGUGGGGGAGAGGGCCAGAACUGUCUGCAAGGCUGCCAUUUCCUCUGAAGCGUCUGUUAUAGACCUGGUCCUCACUGCACUGCCGAGCAGCACAACACAGAGAGAUUGCACUCGGAGGCCGGGCUUGAAACUGACCUCCCAGGGGGGCAGGGAGGGCGCCGUGAACGGACAACCUGGUGCACAAAGCCGUUCCCAUUUAAGAGCAGGACCUUCGUGGGCCAGAGUCUGAUCAAUCUUUGCUGCCACCCUACACCACAGAUUAGGAAGAAACAUUCGCAUAGAAGUUGGAGCAGCCCCAGAUGCGCCCUCCCCGGCCCAAACACCACUGCUGUUGUGUUAGGAUUUUUCUCUCCACAAGCCCCAUUGGAGUUACCCCUCCCCCUCGGCCUCCUUCCACUUAAAACAUCAUCUAUAGAUUUUCAAAUUAUUGCUACACUUUCUAAGAGAAGGAUGCAGUGGUUAAAAAUUAACAGCAAAUUUAUAGGAAUUCUAUGUGGCAAUUACAGAAUUAUAAUGGAGUGGCCGCCACUUGGCGAGUGUGGGUAAUUGGAAAUCCACACUGGGAGACCGGGAUCUUUAUGGCACUGGGGUUGUGUUUUUCGGGUGUAAAUGCUGUGGAGAGGGUCAAUGGACCCUUGAGCUGGCCAAGUUCUUCUCCAGAGGAAAGAGUGGCCAGCCUCCUAGGGAGGGGAGGCGAUUUAGAAGGCGAAUCACUUAACUGGUGCAGAGGGAGGAGGCUCUGGGAGGCCUGGGGUCGGCAGGUUGGGGGCUAGAGGAGCAGCCCUGAGACCCCCCAGCCCCAUCUGGAAAGGAAGGGGAAGGCAGAGGGAAACGAGUCACGGCAGGGCACAGGACGCGGGCCAGCCAGCAGGAGAAGCCUGACUCUCCCCACCCUGUGGGUAAUUCUAUUUAAAAAAUUGGAUGAGAAAGAGAGACCAUUUAUGAAGGCGGGGUGGACAUUGUCCACGCUUCCCACGGGGCCACCCCUGCCGCUGCACCCGCCGUGGUAGUUCAUGGUGGGCGCUGCUGCCUUCUCCUCCCUCUAGGACCACGGCGGCUGGGACCACCAUGGCAGGACCCCGAGAAGGGACUCUGACUGGAGAUCUAGGAGCAAAUCACCUGGUUCAAGAUGUCAGCUAGACCUGGUGCUGUCCAAUAUGGGAACCACUGGUUCCCGUGGCCGCUCAGUGCUGGAACAGUGACACUCAAUGUGUGUGUCAGUUGCGUGCAGAAAUGACGAUGCUUCUGGAGCGUGAGGUUGCGUUAAGUGCAUUAAUAAAAAUAGUCGCACCCA